ACCAAACCACAAAGGUAAUUACCACAAGAAAAGAACACAGUAACAUUAGUACAUUAAUACUUUGGAAAAGAACUAUUCCAUCUCUACAUUGGUUUGGUUUGAUUCUGUCUAAGGUUUGAUUCGAACAUAGCUUGUACUUAUGAGGCUACAAAAAAGAGAUGGGAGAAUCUCUCAGAGCUUUACUUGGUACUUUAAAGACUUUGUUUACUUUAUUCAUAGUCUUUACUCUUCUUCACAGCUUCUAAGCUCAAGCUGCUCCUCCUGCUGUUGGUUAAGCACAUGUCGUCGGUUCUCAAGUGGACUACAGGAUCAUCAUCCUCUAAAACAUCCUCCCAACCAGGUGAUUUCUCAAUUUGGUCUCAUGUAUUUGUUUCUCAACCUGCAGAUACAAAUGUUCUUGAGUUUGAGAAUGGUUACUUGGUCGAAACCGUUGUGGAAGGAAACGAAAUCGGUUUUCUUCCUUCUAGUUUCUGAUGAGGGAGAGCUUUAUGCUGAUGGAAAACGUAGCGAGGCUCGUUUUAAUCAUCCUAAAAAGGAGUCACAAUAAAGGGAAUGUUUAUGUCGCUGAUAAUUUGAAUCUAGCCAUCAGCAAAGAUUGGAGAUUCAGGCAUGCAGAGUGUUCUUAUAUUUGAACAAUUAUCAGACUGAAAUGAUCUAAAGAGUCCUUUUUGAACAUUUUCUUUAACAGGUGUCACUACUAUAGCUGGAGGGAAACCAUAUGUAGCUCAGUAAUAGUUAAAAUUUUGAUCAGUUCAACAUGAGGAGCAGUAAGUAUUGAACCUGAAACUCCAUUUCGAUUCUAGGGUCAGUGAAAGCUGAAAGCAACACCAGCAAAGAGUUUUGAGACCAUGGUCCUUUGUAAAGUUUUUUCAAGGACUCGAGUGUGGAAGAAAGAGACCACGCUGAGAUGUUGAUGGAGUAUCAGGUUCUUGGCCAAUGGGUCAAUAAAGAACAAGAAUCAUGGGUUUGUAAAUUUUCUACUUUUUUUUUGCAGCAGCGGAUAUAUCCAUGUGGAAGAACAAGAGAGAUGUAUGGUGGUGCCACAGCCUCUUGGGUCCUCUUAGAGUUGAUGGAGUAGCAGCUUCUCCCGAAAUCAAACUCGAACCCCAGUCACCGCUGUGAUACAAGCUCUGAUCCACCUCUGCAAUUUUAAUGUCGUAGCUUCUAAACCGGUCACGACCUCCUUCACCACCUCUGAGUCUUCGAGCCGUGUUCAGCUCCUCCACGGGUGUCUGCUCUCAGCUCGUGAUCCCAUCUCCGUUAUACCGUAACAGAUUCACUGUCGUCUCUCCACGGUCGAAGAUUAAAAGCUCCACCAACAAUUGUGAAUUUAAGCUCGUGAUUCCUAGAUUCUUUAGAUCCAAAAGCAAGAUCCGACUUUGAGGUUCGUUAAGUUAGUCGAAGCCCUGAACAUAAUUCCCCACAACAACCCUCACCCGUCCACAACAUACCCGUCCACAACCCAUCUGAACACAAGAACCCACCGGCACACAGCUUCCCCAUCCACAACACCCCCGACCACGACUCUCUCGUCCAAAACAACUUAUAAUCUGUAUGCUCUAAGUUUGUGUACUCCACCUUUGGUUUCUUUUUGUGUUGCGAUCAACAUAACACUUGUGCCGUUGUAAGAUUUUGGAACGCUUAACUUUGAGCUUAUCAUUUUAAUUUUUUUUUUCAUUGUGUACA